rnacentral:rRNA from 1 species
UACGUAGGUGGCAAGCGUUGUCCGGAAUUAUUGGGCGUAAAGCGCGCGCAGGUGGUUUCUUAAGUCUGAUGUGAAAGCCCACGGCUCAACCGUGGAGGGUCAUUGGAAACUGGGGAACUUGAGUGCAGAAGAGGAAAGUGGAAUUCCAAGUGUAGCGGUGAAAUGCGUAGAGAUUUGGAGGAACACCAGUGGCGAAGGCGACUUUCUGGUCUGUAACUGACACUGAGGCGCGAAAGCGUGGGGGGCAAACAGG